CAGGAGAACAGGACUUACAGGCCACGCCAGCACUUAAAUUAAUGGCUGGAGCAGUGACUGGAAGGUGCUUAGUCACUGCCGAGGGAAUCAGGAGCCUUUCCGGAGGCCGAGGAGCAUCCUCCGCACACAUCUGUGUCGGGAAGGUGGAAAGAGCUUCGGGUGCCCUGGGGCCUCCUCGCCUGGGAGCCACACUGCAGCAGGAAGGAGUGGAAGGUCGCUCAUGACUCCGGGGAAAGGGGAGGAGGCUGGAGAAACUUCAAGAGAAAGUUUGAUUAGAGGACUCCAUCUGUCUUUCGGGAACAUGGACGGCUAACUCCUCCGACAGCCCAUCUUGGCAGCCUCUCCUGCAGCUGCCUGGGGAGGGCUGCACCCGCCGGAACAUCAGAAGAAUCUCUCACUUUCUUUCCCAGCAGUUAGGGGUCAGAUGAAGCCGUAACAGGCUUAACACUUGGCAAAGCACCUGGACACAACAGUAUGCUUAAUGAAAUGAUUAAAUGUCUCCUCAGUGGU